UCAUCUAUGUAACCAAUCAUGUUAUCCUCAACCCCACAAUGUUGCCUGUCCUGUUCUGCUUUUUGUUUUGUACUCUCUGAAAUCUAUACAAGGGGAGCUGUCCUGCUCAGGGUCUUUGGCUAGAAACUCAUGCCCUCAUAACAAAAUGAAUGAGGGCUUCUUCUGGAAGACUGUAGGCAAGAGAACUGACUCCCUUUCCACCUGAUUCCAGAGUUUUGAUUCUAAGCUUAAGUGAUGGCGGACCUUUUAGAGAUGGAGUGUCAUGCCCCCUGCCCCUGCCAGAGACCAAGUGCUGUUCCUUGUCCUCCACCUCACCCCUUGGACCUGCCUCUUACCCCAGACAGGGGAAGGAGGAAGCGCUCCCAUUGGCUGCUGAGCAGAGGGCAAGGAAUUUUGCCAACAUUGGAGGAUGAUGGUGAACACAAGGGAGUCUAGUAUCUUUACACCACCAAGCUAUCUUCAAUGAUGUCUGGUUUGCUUUCCAAAAGUCUGAACCAUUAUCUCUAAACUUGCAGUGGAUCUCAAACAAUGAAUGCUUCUUAGUCACAGAAAGGAAGGAAGGGUUGUUGUUACCCCGCUUUUCCAAACUUCCAACCACUUGUUUUAUUUCCCUCACAUCAGCUAUGUCCUCAACUACAUGAUGUCAUUUUCCCUGUUGCUCUAUGUUCUGUACUCCCCAAAAAUCUAUAAAAGGGGAACUAUAUUUUAACUUGAGGUCUUUGACUAGAAACUGAGAUAGCCAUCGACCCAUCUUAUUCUCAGGUUCUUGUCCCAAUAAUAAAAUGUUAUUUUGCUCAGAAAA